rnacentral:miRNA from 1 species
UAUUGUACUGCGACUCGGGC